rnacentral:lncRNA from 1 species
GAAAAUAGAGUAUUAUUAUAAUACUUUUAUGGCAACAGAAUUGGUAGAGAAAAUGAGUAGUGCGUGCAUCAUCUAUUUACGAUAGCAUGGGAGUCAGCUCAUUACAUUUCGUCGAUCCAUCGAUUUAGUUUGAUCAAUCAAGUUGUUUACCAAUUUCACUAUACUUCAACUUUUUCUUCACAAUUGACUUGACAACUCAAUCUCCUUUGUGCUUCAAAUUGUUGUUUCUUGGAAGGAGAUCAGCUCACAAAAGUAGUAGUUUAAAACUGGUUGUUUAACUGGUAAAAGAAUUGAUAGAAAAAAAUUGAGUAAAUGAGUGCAUGGCCCAUUUUAGUUUGGUCGGGCAAGCUGUUUACCAAUUUGAUAAUUUUUGUCAUGGCAGAGGGAGGACAACUUUUUUUUCUAGGAUAAUUUUUGUUUGCUCCCACGAUAACCACCAUGAGACAGCAACCUGCAUCUCCUAGACAGAAUAGCUUCUCAGUUGAUGGUGUCCGUUUUUUCAGCUAACGCAGACUCAUUUAUUGAACGUGGAUGCCGUUAUUUUUUACCACGGACUGUCCGUACCCUUACAUCAGAGAAAUUAUGCUGGUAACCUUGUUCCUGGUGAAGAGGCGCUCGUCGAUCGCUUCGUUCAUCCGGGGACGAAUUGGCCGUCGUGCAGGGGCUCACGCCGCGGGCCUGCGGACGCUCCUGCCCUCGUGGCCAUAUCUCAGGGCCCGAUACACGGAGAAGUGGCAACAGCGCCGCUGGUUAGAUGGAUGUAGAGGCGCGGCCACAUCUCGUGCUCGCCGUCGACAGACGCCGGGCUAACCGGAGCACGCAGGGGAUGCGAACGCCUGCGGGAAGAACCGACGGGACGAACGGCGAGCUCUCACGAAGGGUCGUGAACCUUAGCGCGCGGGAGCCCCCGAGACCGACGGCCCGAUGGAGAUUUUGCUCGGGAUCAAACGGUGCGAAAGCCAGGGGCGACGUGGCUUUAUGAUGGCUCGAGGAGAGCUCGAUUCCUGACCGAGAUUCGUAGAUUAGAGAUUCCGUGGGUCGGUGCUUCAGAAGAUGAGAAGAAACAAGAGCAGGCAGGCCAAGCAAUAAGCCGAUAAGAUGCCGUAGAAGUAAAUAACUGGAGAAGACACAAGUGAGUUUUUCUUCUUCUUCUUGUUCAAAACGGACACAAACGAAUGGAUAUGCGUGCAUGGUGCAUCUUUUAUGUUGACAAGGACAGGAACGUAGACUCAGAUUUUUAUACACACCACAAGAUUACAAGGACAAGAGGCGGCAACACGGUAAGGUCCAUGCUCCAUUGACACCCCAUCACAAUCCGAGGCCUCUCUGUAUAAAAGCCGAAACCAAAUGAUCUGCAGCUCUGAACCAUAUAUACUGACAUGAUGACCCGACCGUUUUCUCUGUUUAAAUCUCAGGAAAAAAAACUGAAAUUACAUUCUCUAUACUGUUGCUGUUGAGUGAAGGAAAGCCUGUGAUACUGUUGCUGGAGAGUGAAGUCAGAAAGCCGGUGAAAUAAUAUCUUCUUCUUUUCCUCUGAAAUUCUGUUCCAACCACUCAUCGCCAGCCCUUUAUGCCAGUCGUGCAAACAACUUGCACUUUGUCAGUGCCCAGGUAGUAAAAAAUUGCUUGUAUUCAUAUUCAUAUUUACAUUCCCCAAAGCCUUGCGCCCACUCCCACUGCACCAUCCAUCAGGUUGUUGCUGAAACCGAAUGCCCGGCCAAUAUGCUCCAAAACUGCAGAAAACAGUAUUGGUUCUGCAUGUUAGAAAGUUAUUGAUAAUAUUCUUGUACAAAUUAGUAUUACCAGAUUUACCAAAUAAAAAUGUACCCGGAACAAGAGCUGCAGAACGUAAAUUUGAGGUACUAAUCUUGACUGGUUAAAGAGCACUACAAACUACUGACGGAGUGACGGUGCAACAUUUCAAAUAUGAACCUUGAUUAGAGCUUGUGAAGUUGUGAAUCAACAGCUUAAAGUCCAGCACAGAUAUGCAGAACCAUCAUCCAUAUGGAUGGAGCUAAAGAAAGUAAAUGCCCUAAAUGCAGAAUGAAAUACAACACUAAUUUUCCAGAUUUCGAUAAAAAGAGGUUUGAUCAAGACAAAAGGCAGUUAUUAUUUGAAUUCAAAAGGCAUAAGGAAGUGUAAAAUCUUUGUGCCAGGUUCAGCAUGACUACACAAGAGCUGCCUCUCCAAUCAAACCAAUCUCAUAAAACUAAAUUAAAUUUUCUCAAAUUACAUGCUAAAUGGAUGCUAUAACCUGUGAUGUUUAGCAACAAAACAAUGGAUAUUCAGCUGUACAGUGGCAGAGCUUAAUGGAGAUCAAAGAGGGCUAUGGUCACCCCUAAACUAGAUAAAUUCUUAAUGAAGCACUGAAUUUCACUGCUUAAAUGGAAAGAGAAACACUAACCUGACCCCCUCUCUUUCCAUUUCAGUGAUAUUGGGCCCCUCUUCUUUUGUAUCCAAGCUCCGCCACUGCAGCUGUAGAACUCUGAGCCAAAUAGAUGGACCCACAGGAAAGGAAAAUAGCAGUGUAAAGCAAGAAAUAUUUAAUGAAUAAGGCAGUUAGUAUGAUGCUGCAAGCAACAAAAAAAGAUAAAAAUCAAGAGUCAAAGUCCACCAAGUUUCCAGAUUGCACUCCUCUAUAGCUAGGCAUCAGAUAAUGGCUCCUUCACAUUGCCCAACCAGAAAAUACAAGCAUAUGAUGCCUUGCUGCUUAGAAUAGAACGACAUGCUAAAAUCAUCAUUACUUGGCGAUUUGCAGACGAGAACAGCUCUCCAGCUCUCACUGAUCAGAUGUAUAGCACCACUAACUCCUUUAAUAUUAUGAAACAAACACGUGCAAGUCUGAAAGAUAGAAUGCAAAUGCACUUUAGCCAUGCAUCGGUCAUUUUUUAUGUUCAUACUUUAUUUACUUCUGACUUCACCAUUUAUUGAAUUUGAGAGCAAUAACAACAAAUCAUUUUUACCUUUCUAGUGCCAAGCAAGUUGCGGUAGGCUAGAGCUGAAACCCAACAUGAGCCACCAACAAGAACGGAACAUAAAUUUAUCGAAUAUAAUCCAAAUAACAAUUAUCUCACAACGGGCAGAACUUAGAAAGACACUGCAAUGUUCGAUAUUAUCAUCAAUACUGAAUCUUUUCUGGAAGUCAUGCAAUCUGAAGCAGUUCAAUUUUAGCAAAAGCAAGAUGUUGUGAGAGCAUGUACAUUGUAUUCUGAUACGUAGAAACCGGGAACAUAUAAGUAAUAUCACUCACCUGCACAAAUCUAGCAGGAUUCGCACCCAUGUGAAAAUGAUUUCCAUGAAUUCACUGUGCAUCAGCCAAUCAAGUAUCAACAUUUUUUCACAAGAACGGUAUGCACCGUCUCUGUGUAAACAGUUCAGUAGACAGAUCAUCACAAUUGUGUAUCUACAUCUAAGAUUUCAACCAUUUGAAAAUCAGUUCUGAAGUCGCUUUCGUGUACUCCCUUUUCUACUCUUACAAUUGUCCAAGUAGUGUAGAGCCUUCUUUGGCAGUUUAGCAGUUGACUGAAGUUGAAUGAGAGAACUGUAUGUCACGUAAUCAAGCAAAAUGCCAUACCCCAUGCCAUCAGCUCUCUCACAGAAAAAAAAAGCCUUCUCUGAGCAUCUUCUUCUUUAGGCAGCAUAUAAAAAAGCCUUCUCUGUAAGAACUAUGCAUCCUUUCUUCCCGAAUGCAUCAAUAGUAGAAAAGCAUUUGGAACUCAUCUGCUGAUGGAAGCUGUCAAACCAAUGCCAUGCUUGCUCAAGCAUCCCAGCAUUUACAUACAUCCUUGUCAAAGCGGAUUGUGUGUAUUCAUCUAUCACAAAGCCCCUCUCAUCCAUUUCCUAUAGAAGGGCUUCCGCUUUAGUGACCAUGCCCCUGAAUCCCUGAUAGAGUAUCCAUAUAAGAGUGUUUGUGGCAGCUCACAACAUCUGGUAUCAAAUUUUCUGGCUUCAUCUUCCAGAAGUAGUACUCUGCAACAUCAGUUUCGUUCCUUUCUCUAUACAGUGUAUCAGUAUAUUGUACAUCCUAGUGUCAGGAAAGCACUGGGAUUCCUCCGUCAUCCUCACCAAAGAAGCAACUUGCUCCAUUCUAUGGUGUUUACCCCAAACAUGAAUCACUGUGUUGAAUGUAACAACACGCAACACCUUCUAUCAACAUUGGGUUGAAUGUAUCUGAUACUUUCUCAAGUUGACCAGCUUUUCCAUGAGUAUCAACUAUCAAUCUAGGUGCUUUAAGUGCACAAACUGUAGCAAGGGCGUCCCUCCAUCCUUCUACUUGAAUCCGAGGACCUGCAGCACAAUACUCACAGUGACCUCAUGAGGCAUCAAACCCCGCUUGCGCAUGUCCCUGAGCCACAAAUAAAGUCGCCCGUUCUCUUUCCCCUUUGCAACACACAUCGAUCAGUAUUCCAUACCUUGAGUUAUCUCAUUAUCUGGCACCACACUGCAAGAAUGCAUCUCAUGCCACAGCCUAAGAACAAGGUCCCAUUUCCUUGCCCAGCCGACUCUACAGAGCACAACAUUGUAGUGAAUCACAUUGAGUUCAUUGCCUCUCUUCAUGUGAAACCAGUCAAAGAUCUCGACUGCCUGUCUCCAAUCUUUCUGCUCCUUGAGGAUGAUCGGACUCACCCGGUUGCUCAGUGUAUCCUUCCACAGCCAGAGUGCUUCCCCAACAUCGUGGGCAUGCUCCAGUGCCUCCGGCAUUGUCAGAAGCGACCCACCGUAAUGGACCCGGUUGCCUUUGCUAUUCCCUUUAGUAGUCUGUCUAGCCGUGCAUGGAACAGCCAAUUCCAGGGAAAUUUCAGAGGUUCUAGCUGGUGCAGAGACUGGCGUUCGCCGAAGCUGUAACUGUAAGGUUCUGUAAUGGAGUCAGCGGCCGCGCAGGAUUUUGGAGGAAGCAAUCGCACGGGAUCAUCGCCCUGCCGUUAUCUACCCUGGAAACGAGUGCAAUGACGGUGUUGUUAAUCAUUUUGGAACAAUGGGAACCGAUUUCACCUUUCAACGCCGAACUGAAAAACUAUGGGCCCGAACAUGAAACCUAAACUUUCGGUUCGAAACAUUCGAUUCACAUUCUAAGCUUUGAACUCACACUCACCAGUCGGCGCAGGUUCACGUUCACGGCCGAGACGGCGGGCGGGCGGUGAGAAGUUCGGACCGCGGGGUCGGUGGCCUCUUGCCCCUC